UACGUAGGGGGCAAGCGUUGUCCGGAAUCAUUGGGCGUAAAGCGCGUGUAGGCGGCUUCGUAAGUCCGUUGUGAAAGUCCAGGGCUCAACCCUGGAAUGCCGAUGGAUACUGCGGAGCUGGAGUCCGGAAGAGGCGAGUGGAAUUCCUGGUGUAGCGGUGAAAUGCGCAGAUAUCAGGAGGAACACCAAUGGCGAAGGCAGCUCGCUGGGACGGUACUGACGCUGAGACGCGAAAGCGUGGGGAGCAAACAGG
rnacentral:rRNA from 1 species